AAGCUUGCUUGCCUCCCUCUGAAC
rnacentral:siRNA from 1 species